rnacentral:rRNA from 1 species
CAGUCGCCGCGGGAAUACGAAGGGUGCAAGCGUUACUCGGAAUUACUGGGCGUAAAGCGUGCGUAGGUGGUCGUUUAAGUCCGUUGUGAAAGCCCUGGGCUCAACCUGGGAACUGCAGUGGAUACUGGGCGACUAGAAUGUGGUAGAGGGUAGCGGAAUUCCUGGUGUAGCAGUGAAAUGCGUAGAGAUCAGGAGGAACAUCCAUGGCGAAGGCAGCUACCUGGACCAACAUUGACACUGAGGCACGAAAGCGUGGGGAGCAAACAGGAUUAGAUACCCCAGUAGUCCCUGUCUCUUAUAC